rnacentral:lncRNA from 1 species
UAUAUAGCAGAAUGUUUUUAAUAUUAUUAAUAAAUCAGCAUUUUAUGAAUAAUAAUUAAUUUAAUUUUUUAAAUUCCAUACGUACAAAUAGCAUGAGAACAAAAUCUCCGAAAGCCACUCAAUCUGUCCAAAAAAUUCCAAAAUACUUUUUCUAAAUGCUGGUGAUAUUAUCCAAAGAGUUAAUUUUAGGCUAAAUUAUAGAAAACCUCUAUAUAAAUACCCACUUUUUACUUUUUCUUCCCGACUUUUAAAACCUAUAUUUUACUCGCUUAAAGUUUCAGAAAUAUUUUUAGAAAGAUACGGUGUUAAUAAAGAUGGCAAAAUGACCAAAUUAUUCUUAUUUUUUCUAUAAAAAAAAUAAUAGUUUAAUAUAUUUUUAUUUUUUUGAAGGAUAUUUUAAAUAUAAAUUAUAAGGAAUAGACAUAAUAGUAAUGUAACCUUGACAAAGAAGUGCUAAAUGUAACAACUCGAAAUGCUUAGAGGAUAAAAUAUAAGUUUUUAAAAGUUAAAGAAGAAAAGUAAAAAAAAAGAUAUUCAUAAAAAAAAAUGUCUGUAAUUUAGCCUUUAUUUUAAUAUUACAAAAAAUUUAUUAAAUAUAAUAUUUAUUCAUAGACUGAAUUUAAUCUUAUUUAAUAAAUCUGAUGUGACAAAGGACUUGACAGUUGGUACUCUCCAAGUCCCAAAUUCAAAUUCUAGUUAAUUCACAUUUUGAGCUAAAUUUAUUUUUUUUAAAAAAUAAUCAAAAGGAAUUGCAUGUUAUCUAUCUCUAAAAGAAAAUAAUAAUAAAUAAAUCUGAU